rnacentral:tRNA from 1 species
AAGGGCAUAGCUCAGUGGUAGAGUGAAUGCUUAGAAUACACGAGGUCCUGGGUUCAAUCCCCAGUACCUCCA